rnacentral:rRNA from 1 species
CUAUGCGCCUUGCCAGCCCGCUCAGUCAGAGUUUGAUCCUGGCUCAGGAUGAACGCUAGCGGCAGGCCUAAUACAUGCAAGUCGAACGAUACCAGGGAGCUUGCUCUCUGGGAAAGUGGCGCACGGGUGCGUAACGCGUAUGCAACCUACCUUUAUCAGGGGGAUAGCCUCUCGAAAGAGAGAUUAACACCGCAUAACAUCAGUGAAUGGCAUCAUUUACUGAUCAAAUAUUUAUAGGAUAAAGAUGGGCAUGCGUGUCAUUAGCUAGUUGGUGAGGUAACGGCUCACCAAGGCGACGAUGACUAGGGGAUCUGAGAGGAUGACCCCCCACACUGGUACUGAGACACGGACCAG